CUCGUCAUGAACAUAUAUAUAAUAAUAGGAAGAUGUGGUACGAGUGUCAAUGAGAUAACUCUCUACAUGAAACCAAAUGACAUAGAAAUUAAAAUUUAUCAGGUCACCAUUCGGCCUUUAACAGUGAGCAAUGCCAACACUGCAUAGUCUGCUAUUAAAGAAAAGACAAAUGUAACAAAAUUCGAACAAGUCAACUUAUGGCUUUAUUUAUGUACAAAAAAGAACAAAUAGCAAAUACAGUAUUAACACAGCAACUCACGACCAUCAUUGAACUGCAGGCUCCCGUGACAUGGGUCAGGCCUAGGCAAAUACAGAAUGUAGCGAUGUUAAACAUGUAAGAUGGCGUUAAACUCACCCUAACCUGGGACAGUUGUGUUACAGUACAACAUAAGAGCAGACUAAAAAAAUCAGUUGAAAAGGCUUAACUAAACAGGC
rnacentral:lncRNA from 1 species